CAGUAGCCGCGGUAAUACGUAGGGUGCGAGCGUUAAUCGGAAUUACUGGGCGUAAAGCGUGCGCAGGCGGUUAUAUAAGACAGAUGUGAAAUCCCCGGGCUCAACCUGGGACCUGCAUUUGUGACUGUAUAGCUAGAGUACGGUAGAGGGGGAUGGAAUUCCGCGUGUAGCAGUGAAACGCGUAGAUAUGCGGAGGAACACCGAUGGCGAAGGCAAUCCCCUGGACCAGUACUGACGCUCAUGCACGAAAGCGUGGGGAGCAAACAGGAUUAGAUACCCCAGUAGUCCCUGUCUCUUAUAA
rnacentral:rRNA from 1 species